UCGACCUUGUUGGGAGAAGCCGGUUCGUCUGUGACCGGUGCCGAAGGAGCAACCGCCCCGGAAACUCUCAGGCCAAAGGACCAGCAAGG
rnacentral:ncRNA from 2 species